rnacentral:rRNA from 1 species
UACGUAGGGGGCAAGCGUUGUCCGGAAUCAUUGGGCGUAAAGCGCGUGUAGGCGGCCCGGUAAGUCCGCUGUGAAAGUCGGGGGCUCAACCCUCGGAUGCCGGUGGAUACUGUCGGGCUAGAGUACGGGAGAGGCGAGUGGAAUUCCUGGUGUAGCGGUGAAAUGCGCAGAUAUCAGGAGGAACACCAAUUGCGAAGGCAGCUCGCUGGAACGUUACUGACGCUGAGACGCGAAAGCGUGGGGAGCAAACAGG